rnacentral:sRNA from 1 species
UAAUAUGGAACGCCCCGACUAAGAGCGCCACCUCCUGUGGCAACGUCGGCAUGACUAUUCGUGUGAG